rnacentral:rRNA from 1 species
GACGAACGCUGGCGGCGUGCUUAACACAUGCAAGUCGAACGAUGAAGCUAGAGCUUGCUCUGGUGGAUUAGUGGCGAACGGGUGAGUAACACGUGAGUAACCUGCCCCGAACUCUGGGAUAACUGCUGGAAACGGUAGCUAAUACCGGAUAUGACCAAUGAAGGCAUCUUCUGUUGGUGGAAAGAAUUUCGGUUCGGGAUGGACUCGCGGCCUAUCAGCUUGUUGGUGAGGUAACGGCUCACCAAGGCGACGACGGGUAGCCGACCUGAGAGGGUGAUCGGCCACACUGGGACUGAGACACGGCCCAGACUCCUACGGGAGGCAGCAGUGGGGAAUAUUGCACAAUGGGCGCAAGCCUAAUGCAGCAACGCCGCGUGAGGGACGACGGCCUUCGGGUUGUAAACCUCUUUUAGUAGGGAAGAAGCGAAAGUGACGGUACCUGCAGAAAAAGCACCGGCUAACUACGUGCCAGCCGCCGCCGUAA